UACGGAGGGUGCAAGCGUUAUCCGGAUUCACUGGGUUUAAAGGGUGUGUAGGCGGGUCUGUAAGUCAGUGGGGAAAUCUCCGAGCUCAACUUGGAAACUGCCAUUGAUACUAUAGGUCUUGAAUUUUGUUGAGGUAGGCGGAAUAUGUCAUGUAGCGGUGAAAUGCAUAGAUAUGACAUAGAACACCGAUUGCGAAGGCAGCUUACUAAGCAAAUAUUGACGCUGAGGCACGAAAGCGUGGGGAUCAAACAGG
rnacentral:rRNA from 1 species